rnacentral:ncRNA from 1 species
UGCUGCCCCCCAUGCCUGCUGACGUUGUCAGCGACAUGCCAGGCAACCAUCGGUCUUCGGGUUGCCGCGCAGCGCCCGCUGCGUGACCGAGCCAGUUCGCACCGCAUCCUUGCGCGAACGGCCACCGGACUUUCCGGUGGUGGAUGC